UAAUAUCCCCAAUUUUCAGCCAUUUCAGUAAGGAAAUUUCGUGAAGGUUUAGGGGCAAAACGGAUCGAUAUAUGUGACGGAAUAAAAAUAUUGAUCAACCCAAAAGCGGCGGCCGUACAAAUUAAGAACACUUUGUAAUGCAUAUACAUAAUGUUAUUUGGGCAAGACAUAAGUAUUAGACAAUAACAAUGCAAACUAAACUGAAUCGGAAGUUAGCAUGCAACAGUGAACUGCUUGUGAAUGCCUAUUUUAAUCUACACAUUUCAAAAUAGACCUAUCGAAGUUAAUUAAUGUAUGUAUACGUUCAAACAUAAAUGUAUGAUCCAAACAAAAAACGCGUGUAUAAACAUAACUUUGUAAUGUGCGUGUUACUUUGAAUAUAAUGACUGUAACAGUAUAAACAAUAGUGCCUCGAAGCAUCGAACAUGUUACAUAUUUGAAUCUGUUUCGUUAUUUAAUAGAAAAAUCGAUGAAAUAAUCUUUAAAUCGUAAAGGAAGUGAGUUCCUGAUAUGUUUUUUUUAAUUCUAUUAUAUUUCGCAACAUUGAUAAAGAUUCUAGUGUGAAUUCCCUACAUGAUAAAUUAUCUGAAAACCAUGUUUACAUGGAAUUUUAUUAUAUGUAUUCCUAUUACUAGUGCUCAGAAUUUUUUUAAAUCUGAAAUUCGAAUACUAGUUUAGUGGUUUAUUCGAAUAUUCGAAUAAUCAAGUAAUCGAGUAUUCAACAAAUAUUAGAGUAUUCAACUAGUGAAGAAAUUGCAGCUAGAUUGGUAGAAGAGAACCGGUUGAAUGGCCAUCGAUGUCUUCGGACUUAACACCUAUGGAUUAAUUCUUAUGGGGACACUGAAAAAGCAACGUUUUCAGGUUAAACUGAAAAACAUUGAGGAAUCGCAAGAACGAAUACGACAGGAAUACAAGCUAAAUUCUUCCGAUUUGAUUAGAAAUGUUCCAAACGAGUUUCAGUACCGUUUAGGUUAUUGACCGGAAUUGAUAACAUUUUAAGAAUUUAUUGAGUUGAAUGAUAUUUCUUCAUUUUUCGAAUGAGUUGAUGUUUGUCAAAUUUCUUUUAAACAAGAGAUAAAAAUUUACUUUCUCUCUUUUGAAAAAUUAUUAAAAGACGGUCUUUAAUUUGAUGAAUUUAUUAGUUAGAAACUCAAGUCUGUACUUAUUCAAAAUCAAUUUUUUGUCAUCCUGGCUUUAAGAACAUAUUGGUUUCUAUAAAGAGACGUAACUGAAGGCAACCAAAAAAUAAUUCAAAUUUUUGCCUUCGAAUAAUUACACAAUUCAAACAUGUUGGCGACGAUGAUUAGAUAAAAUCAUAGCUCCUAUUGACUAUAUUUGAAAAAUUAUUAUUUAUCAGCAGCAAUUUUAUUUCAUAGUUCUGAGAAGUCAAACGAUGUUAAGUCAUUAAAAUCAUCAUCAGGGUGAUGAUGUUAGCUUUAAGGACACGUAUAUAAGUAUCAGUAAGAAGGAUGUAAACCUUAUUUGAAUAAAACACAUAUGUUCAAAUGUUCGUUCUGAGAAAA